AACGAACGCUGGCGGCAGGCCUAACACAUGCAAGUCGAACGGGAUCUUCGGAUCUAGUGGCGGACGGGUGAGUAACGCGUGGGAACGUGCCCUUUGGUUCGGAAUAGCCCUGGGAAACUGGGGGUAAUACCGGAUGAGCCCUACGGGGGAAAGAUUUAUCGCCAAAGGAUCGGCCCGCGUUGGAUUAGGUAGUUGGUGGGGUAAUGGCCUACCAAGCCGACGAUCCAUAGCUGGUUUGAGAGGAUGAUCAGCCACACUGGGACUGAGACACGGCCCAGACUCCUACGGGAGGCAGCAGUGGGGAAUCUUAGACAAUGGGGGAAACCCUGAUCUAGCCAUGCCGCGUGAGCGAUGAAGGCCUUAGGGUUGUAAAGCUCUUUCAGUGGGGAAGAUAAUGACGGUACCCACAGAAGAAGCCCCGGCUAACUCCGUGCCAGCCGCCGCCGUAACAC
rnacentral:rRNA from 1 species